rnacentral:rRNA from 1 species
AUGCAAACAAAGGAGGUGUUUACCUGUGAAUGCUUUGGUUCAUCAACCAUGAUCUUCUUCAAGCUUGUGUCCCAAAACAUGGAGGAAACGCCAUCACUUUGCUGCUUUUGUGUCCGGGUUAGAGAAGAAGGGGGUGGACCCGUUAAAAGUUUUUAUUUGAUUUGUGCGGUUUGUUUAAAUGAGUGGGACAGGAAAAGGGACAUACAGGGGACAAGGGACAGAGGACAACUGUCACAUUCCAGUUGGCUGGAAAAUCCGGAUGAAACCCAAUUGGUUUUCAGCCGGAUGCCAAUUAGACAGUCCCUUGUUUUUUGUCCGAGCCGGACCCGGAAGGAAGCUGGUUCCAUACUCUCUCUCUUUUUUUUUUUGAAAAGGAGCUGGUUCCAACCGUUUCGUCCCUCACAACAGUGCCAUGCUGGGCGGCAAUGA